rnacentral:rRNA from 1 species
ACGCUGACAGAAUGCUUAACACAUGCAAGUCGAUGAUGGGAGCUAGCUUGCUAGAAGAAGUCAUGGCGGACGGGUGAGUAACGUGUAAAGAACUUACCAUAUAGACUGGGAUAACAGAGGGAAACUUCUGAUAAUACUGGAUAAGUUAGUAGUAGCAUUACUAAGUAAUGAAAGGUAGCAAUACGCUAUAUGAGAGCUUUGCAUCCUAUUAGCUAGUUGGUGGGGUAAAAGCCUACCAAGGCGAUGAUAGGUAGCCGGCCUGAGAGGGUGGACGGCCACAAGGGGACUGAGAUACGGCCCUUACUCCUACGGGAGGCAGCAGUGGGGAAUAUUGGACAAUGGAGGCAACUCUGAUCCAGCAAUUCUGUGUGUGUGAAGAAGGUUUUAGGACUGUAAAACACUUUUAGUAGGGAAGAAAGAAAUGACGGUACCUACAGAAGAAGCGACGGCUAAAUACGUGCCAGCAGCCGCGGUAAUACGUAUGUCGCGAGCGUUAUCCGGAAUUAUUGGGCUUAAAGGGCAUCUAGGCGGUUAAACAAGUUGAAGGUGAAAACCUGUGGCUCAACCAUAGGCUUGCCUACAAAACUGUAUAACUAGAGUACUGGAAAGGUGGGUGGAACUACACGAGUAGAGGUGAAAUUCGUAGAUAUGUGUAGGAAUGCCGAUGAUGAAGAUAACUCACUGGACAGCAACUGACGCUGAAGUGCGAAAGCUAGGG